rnacentral:tRNA from 1 species
GGGGCUAUAGCGCAGUUGGUAGCGCGCUUGCAUGGCAUGCAAGAGGUCUCGAGUUCGAAUCUCGAUAGCUCCACCA